UACGAAGGGGGCUAGCGUUGCUCGGAAUCACUGGGCGUAAAGGGUGCGUAGGCGGGUCUUUAAGUCAGGGGUGAAAUCCUGGAGCUCAACUCCGGAACUGCCUUUGAUACUGAAGAUCUUGAGUUCGGGAGAGGUGAGUGGAACUGCGAGUGUAGAGGUGAAAUUCGUAGAUAUUCGCAAGAACACCAGUGGCGAAGGCGGCUCACUGGCCCGAUACUGACGCUGAGGCACGAAAGCGUGGGGAGCAAACAGG
rnacentral:rRNA from 1 species